rnacentral:miRNA from 1 species
CAACAACAGCAGCAGCAA